rnacentral:ncRNA from 1 species
AUAUUCCGACAGGGGAGCGCCACAGCGCUGAGAGUGCGGCACCACGUGAUCCCACGCAAAGGCCGCAGACCCUCUGAACCUCGCCCGGGUCAUUCCGGGUAGGAAGUUCGGACCACUCCAGCU